GCGAAAACUUUACAAUGCCGGCAACGGCGAUAAGGGGACCUCGAGUGCCAGGUUACAAAUCUGGCUGUCGUGAUGCCUAAAAAGCAUUGCAUAGCAAGGGCCGGGCAAGACCGGUGCCAGCCGCCGCGGUAACACCGGCGGCUCGAGUGGUAACCGUUAUUAUUGGGUCUAAAGGGUCUGUAGCCGGCCGGAUAAGUCUCUUGGGAAAUCCAGCAGCUUAACUGUUAGGCUUUCAGGAGAUACUGUCUGGCUCGAGGCCGGGAGAGGUGAGAGGUACUUCAGGGGUAGGGGUGAAAUCUUGUAAUCCUUGAAGGACCACCAGUGGCGAAGGCGUCUCACCAGAACGGACCUGACGGCAAGGGACGAAAGCUAGGGGAGCAAACG
rnacentral:rRNA from 1 species